rnacentral:rRNA from 1 species
CGGGGGGGGGGCAAGCGUUGUUCGGGAAUUACUGGGGCGUAAAGGGCGCGCAGGCGGGCGAGACAGUCUUUCGUGAAAUCCCACGGGCUCAACCGUGGAACUGCGGGAGAUACUUCUCGUCUUGAGUUCGGGAGAGGAGUGUGGAAUUCCCAGUGUAGCGGUGAAAUGCGUAGAUAUUGGGAGGAACACCGGUGGCGAAGGCGGCACUCUGGACCGAUACUGACGCUGAGGCGCGAAAGCUAGGGGAGCAAACGGGAUUAGAUACCCCGGUAGUCCUGGCUGUAAACGCUGAGCACUUGGUGUAGCGGGUAUCGACCCCUGCUGUGCCGAAGCUAACGCAUUAAGUGCUCCGCCUGGGGAGUACGGUCGCAAAGGCUG